rnacentral:tRNA from 1 species
AAAUUGGUGGUGAAGUGGUUAGAGCGUAGGUCUCGUAACCGAAAGGUUGCGGGAUCGAAUCCCGCUAGAGGCU